GUGGGGAAUAUUGGACAAUGGGGGGAACCCUGAUCCAGCGACGCCGCGUGAGUGAAGAAGUAAUUCGUUAUGUAAAGCUCUAUCAGCAGGGAAGAAGAAAGUGACGGUACCUGACUAAGAAGCCCCGGCUAACUACGUGCCAGCAGCCGCGGUAAUACGUAGGGGGCAAGCGUUAUCCGGAUUUACUGGGUGUAAAGGGAGCGUAGACGGUAAUGCAAGUCUGGAGUGAAAGGCGGGGGCCCAACCCCCGGACUGCUCUGGAAACUGUGAUACUGGAGUGCAGGAGAGGUAAGUGGAAUUCCUAGUGUAGCGGUGAAAUGCGUAGAUAUUAGGAAGAACACCAGUGGCGAAGGCGGCUUGCUGGACAGUAACUGACGUUGAGGCUCGAAAGCGUGGGGAGCAAACAGGA
rnacentral:rRNA from 1 species